GAAUAGCGUGAAAUUAAUUAAUUUAGAAUCUAUAUCCGAGUCGAUCCAAUCUUCAAUUUUCACAUUUUCAUCUGAGUUUUACGUUGAAACCUGUAAUAAAGAUAUAGGCUUGCGCGCAAUCCUUGGGUAUGCAUACGUAAUUGCGUAUCCACUGCCCCAGCGCCGCCUGGAAACUUCUUGAACUCUCGCGGACGUUAGAGAGUGAUGACACAUUGAACAGAGUAAAGUAAAAAUACUAUACUACGUCGCGCCUACGCGUCUGCUUCCUUCUCGAAAUUUCUAACACGUUCAAUGCUCCCGCUCUUUCGAUGCUUCGAUGCAAGCAUCAAUGAAACUUACCUGAUCUGGAGUUUUUAUGCACUGCCCUGCACUUAUCGAAUCCAGGGAAUUCAUUUUUAACCGACGGUUGCCUUGCAUGCACCUAUAUAUAUUGUUGCUGUUUACAUACAACUCAUUCUGAAGUCUGCCAUUCUAAUUUUUGUAAGAGUAUAAUAAUAUAUGUAUGCACAUAUUGCAUCCUUGGCAGAUACUGUGUACUAUAUAGGAAGUAAGAUUACAAAAGAGACGAAACUUUUGCUUGUCUAGCUUUAAAAAUUGGUCAAAUAUAUCAUAAUGAGUAGUGUCAGUUACUGCUAUUCGUGGUGCAAGUACUACAUGCUCGAUUAUUCGUACUACUUCGAUGGCUGCCUUGAAAGAAAUCAGCUGUCAGAAGAAACUGUCACUGCUUGUCGUCCUAAAGCUGAUCCGAAUACCCAUGCUUCUCCUCAUGGUAGUUGAUGUUAAUCUGAAGGAGGUUAUCUGACAGCACCAAGAGUUUUACCAAGGCUGGAAGUAUGGAACUGAAAACUUUUCAGGGCAAAUAGUUGUGAGGUCGUCAGAAAUCUCCUUGUCAAGAGUUUUUGGCACAAACUUUCCCUCAAGCUCCAAGAACUGAGGGGAGUUUACAUGAUUAUGGUAGAGAUCUUGUCGUCAACAGUCCUCAAGUUACUGUAUUCUCCAAAACAAAAUAACGCCAUGGAUUUAGAUUCAACCGAUGUUAUACAUAAGUAAUAUUAGAAUUUCAAGAAACUGUGGUCAGCAAUUCCUUAAUUACUCAAAAACAUUUCAUAUUUAGGAAUAUAUAACUCAUGUACCUUAAGUGUUUCAGUCAAUGUUGCAUAAUGUUUCCAGGAUCACAUCUUUGUUCCGGAUUGAAAAUAACGUGUGACUCCUAGCUAUGUAUAUAAGGAUUGUCAGAAUCAUAAAGAUUACAAAGCCUUAGAAUGCUCAACCAGUGUAAUACCUGAGGCUGGCUCUAAGUACUGAACAAAGUGGUUUUCAUAGGAUUUCUGGUGAAUGUUUCCACUAUAAAAGGAAACAAUGUAGCGCGCCAUUCCAAGUACUGUUUCCAGAAUCGGUGUGGAAAUGUACCUUAGUAUAGAAACGGUAUAGAACAAAACAAUAAUUCUGAACGUAAACUUAAAAUUCUAAAUGUGAUUUAUAACAGAAAUAUAUGUUCCCCCUUUUUCAACUAUAAUUGUAUUAAUGGAACAAGUAAAAGUGUUAUAUCCAUCGUCAAAGGAUUUGGAUUCAAGCUCGAGUUGCUUUUUUCUACUUUCGAAGUAGUUCUAUCCUUUUGUUCUGAAAACAAUUAAUACACAUAAGAGAAAAUUAGGUUCACCCAGUCUCUUUAAACAAUUUAUUUUAUAUUAAUUAAUUAUACAAUUUUUAUAGAUUACUUAAUUUUAAAUGUAAAGUAAUUUUUGUAAUGUAAAGUUUUGUGAAUUUCGCUUUGCGAAAAAGCAGUACUGUAUUAAACGACUAUCAUUAA